AUUUUUUAAAGAUUUAAACUUAAAUUACAUACAAAACGCGAUUUUAAUGUAAGCUAUAGGUCUUAACAUGAACAUUCUCUGCGCUCGCUUUCUGCACGAUGUGAUGUGUCAUUAUUUAUAAUCGGGUCCAGUCCUAAAUGAAAUCGCGCCUCUCUGUUUUUUUAUGAGAAAAAAAUUGAAUAUGCGAAUGCUAGUACAACAAUUUUAAAUAAGGAAAACAAGUGAAGCUACCAAGUACAAGGCAGCUGUGAUACCAUUAGCUGGUGCAGUGGUUGGCGGUCUUGUUGGCGGACCUAUCGGUUUGUUAGCAGGUUUUAAAUUAGCUGGUGCAGCUGCAGCGGUAGGAGGAGGCAUAGCGGGUUAUCAAGGUGGUAAGUACUUAAAGAAAAAACAUGAUCACAAAGUUGAAACAGAACUGGAAAACUUAAGUACGCCUUGAUAAAAAAAAUGUUGGCUGAUAAAACACCGUGAUCAAUGAUUGCGUCGAGUUAAUUAGUUGAAGUUGGUUUAGAAUAUUUAUAUAUUGGGGAAGAUAUCACGCUACGGACAAAUAAUUUGUAUAUUUGUAUAUAAUUUUAAUAAUGUAUACAUUAAUGAAAGUAUGUUUAGGCAAUAUGUAUACAGCUGAAUUGGAAAAAGUAAAUAUAUAAUAAAA